rnacentral:rRNA from 1 species
CCUACGGGGGGCAGCAGUGAGGAAUAUUGGUCAAUGGACGAGAGUCUGAACCAGCCAAGUAGCGUGAAGGAUGACUGCCCUAUGGGUUGUAAACUUCUUUUAUAUGGGAAUAAAACAGGGUAUGCAUACCCUCUUGUAUGUACCAUAUGAAUAAGGAUCGGCUAACUCCGUGCCAGCAGCCGCGGUAAUACGGAGGAUGCGAGCGUUAUCCGGAUUUAUUGGGUUUAAAGGGUGCGUAGGCGGUCCGUUAAGUCAGCGGUAAAAUUGCGGGGCUCAACCCCGUCGAGCCGUUGAAACUGGCAGAC